rnacentral:rRNA from 1 species
AUUGAACGCUGGCGGCAUGCCUUACACAUGCAAGUCGAACGGCAGCGCGGGGCAACCUGGCGGCGAGUGGCGAACGGGUGAGUAACAUAUCGGAACAUACCCUAGAGUGGGGGAUAACGUAGCGAAAGUUACGCUAAUACCGCAUACGCACUAAGGUGGAAAGUGGGGGAUUCGCAAGAACCUCAUGCUCAUGGAGUGGCCGAUAUCUGAUUAGCUAGUUGGUGAGGUAAAAGGCUCACCAAGGCGACGAUCAGUAGCUGGUUUGAGAGAACGACCAGCCACACUGGAACUGAGACACGGUCCAGACUCCUACGGAGGCAGCAGUGGGGAAUUUUGGGACAAUGGGGGCGAACCCUGAUCCAGCAAUGCCGCGUGAGUGAAGAAGGCCUCGG